ACACGUAGGGGGCAAGCGUUGUCCGGAAUUACUGGGCGUAAAGGGUGCGUAGGCGGCCAAAUAAGUCAGAUGUGAAAGUCCAGGGCUUAACCGUGGAAUCGCAUUUGAAACUGUAUGGCUUGAGUGCAGGAGAGGAGAGCGGAAUUCCUAGUGUAGUGGUGAAAUGCGUAGAUAUUAGGAAGAACACCAGUGGCGAAGGCGGCUCUCUGGACUGUAACUGACGCUGAGGCACGAAAGCGUGGGGAGCGAACAGGAUUAGAUACCCUGGUAGUCCACGCCGUAAACGAUGAGUGCUAGGUGUCGGGAGUCAAAUCUCGGUGCCGGAGUAAACACAAUAAGUAUCCCGCCUGGGGAGUACGGCCGCAAGGCUGAA
rnacentral:rRNA from 1 species